GAUGAACGCUGGCGGCGUGCUUAACACAUGCAAGUCGAACGAUGAAGCUCAGCUUGCUGGGUGGAUUAGUGGCGAACGGGUGAGUAACACGUGAGUAACCUGCCCUUAACUCUGGGAUAAGCCUGGGAAACUAGGUCUAAUACCGGAUAGGAGCGCCUACCGCAUGGUGGGUGUUGGAAAGAUUUAUCGGUUUUGGUUGGACUCGCGGCCUAUCAGCUUGUUGGUGAGGUAAUGGCUCACCAAGGCGACGACGGGUAGCCGGCCUGAGAGGGUGACCGGCCACACUGGGACUGAGACACGGCCCAGACUCCUACGGGAGGCAGCAGUGGGGAAUAUUGCACAAUGGGCGAAAGCCUGAUGCAGCGACGCCGCGUGAGGGAUGACGGCCUUCGGGUUGUAAACCUCUUUCAGUAGGGAAGAAGCGAAAGUGACGGUACCUGCAGAAGAAGCACCGGCUAACUACGUG
rnacentral:rRNA from 1 species